UGGGGAGUAUUGGACAAUGGGGGCAACCCUGAUCCAGCAAUGCCGCGUGAGUGAUGAAGGCCUUAGGGUUGUAAAGCUCUUUCGGCGGGGACGAUGAUGACGGUACCCGCAGAAGAAGCCCCGGCUAACUUCGUGCCAGCAGCCGCGGUAAUACGAAGGGGGCAAGCGUUGUUCGGAUUUACUGGGCGUAAAGGGCGCGCAGGCGGCGCGUCAAGUCGGGUGUGAAAGCCCCGGGCUCAACCUGGGAACUGCACUCGAGACUGACGCGCUAGAGUUCGGGAGAGGAUGGCGGAAUUCCCAGUGUAGAGGUGAAAUUCGUAGAUAUUGGGAGGAACACCGGUGGCGAAGGCGGCCAUCUGGACCGAGACUGACGCUGAGGCGCGAAAGCGUGGGGAGCAAACAGGAUUAGAUACCCUGGUAGUCCACGCCGUAAACGAUGUGUGCUAGACGUCGGGAAGCCUAGCUUUCCGGUGUCGCAGCCAACGCUUUAAGCACACCGCCUGGGGAGUACGGCCGCAAGGUUAA
rnacentral:rRNA from 1 species